AUUGAACGCCGGCGGCAGGCUUAACACAUGCAAGUCGAGCGGGGGGAGGUAGCUUGCUACCGGACCUAGCGGCGGACGGGUGGGUAAUGCUUAGGAAUCUGCGUAUUAGUGGGGGACGACAUCUCGAAGGGGAUGCUAAUACCGCAUACGUCCUACGGGGGAAAGCAGGGGAUCUGCGGACCUUGCGCUAAUAGAUGAGCCUAAGUCGGAUUAGCUAGUUGGUGGGGUAAAGGACUACCAAGGCGACGAUCUGUAGCGGGUCUGAGAGGAUGAUCCGCCACACUGGGACGGAGACACGGCCCAGCCUCCUACGGGAGGCAGCAGUGGGGAAUACUGGACAAUGGGGGGAACCCUGAUCCAGCCAUGCCGCGUGUGUGAAGAAGGCCUUAUGGUUGUAAAGCACUUUAAGCGAGGAGGAGGCUACUUUAGUUAAUACCUAGAGAUAGUGGGCGUUACUCGCAGAAUAAGCACCGGCUAACUCUGUGCCAGCCGCCGCUGUAA
rnacentral:rRNA from 1 species